CUCUAUUUAUUCGUGCACAAUUUUAAUGCUCCAGAUGAAGCUGUUAACACAAUUUUCACAGGAUUUACAGUAUAUGAAUUUAGUGUUACGAUACAGCAAUUUCUCAUACGACUACAUACAAAUAACUUCGAUAACGGAAGGAUGGACAUUUAACAUACCGUAAAUAUGGUUAUCGACUUUGAAACAAGUUUCACCUGGCACUUGACUCACCAGUUGCACGUGAGAUGCUAGUUCUGACUUAGUAUUCUUGUGUGGCUACUUCGUAGCUCUUACACGGAAAAAGUCAUAACCACAAAUCUACUUCAUAAAAUUUCAAAGUGAACCGACCACAGGCUUCACAAUCAUUUCAAAAAUAACUCAGUGCCUACACCAUAAACUUACGCAAAUAUCUGCAAUCUAAGUUGAACUAGUAGUUAAAUGCAUGUUCUUACAAGCAACUUUAAUCUAAAUCAGGUCAUAAUGCAAUCCUACAAGUGGACCCAGGCUACCUGUCAGUAUAGUGACUGUCCAUGGGAUACGUGAUUAUGGCUAUUCCUGGCAGGGGCAAGAUCCCUUUGCAACUGCUGUCUGGGGCUUACCCAGGCUAAUUAAUGGGCACUGGAUGCUCUUUCCCCAGAAAUAAAAUCUGGGGCAUGAUGACUACUUACCUCCAUCUAGUACCAAGACUGUGUGGAACUAUACCUUCUUUCCCCCAUGCAUCUUCAUGGCAUGGUAUUUAAUUAAGCACAGAGACAACCUGCAUUCAUCUAACGGCAGAACUUAAUUUUGAAAGAAGGAACAAUGUAUGUAUAAUUUGAGGUUUUCACAUAGUGGUUAUGAAGAAGUCCAUCUUCUGGGAUGCUGUGAAGUCCACUGAAAGUCAAAUGACACUUUGGAGGAACAUGUCACCUUCAUCUUCAGGAUCGAAGAAUAUGUGAAGCAAGGAUGUACCAAAAUAUCAGUUGACUUUCAACAGACUACAUGGCAUUAUAUCCCAGAAGAUGGAACUAUUCAGUGUACACAGAAUACUGAACAUUUAGAUGUUCCAGCAGUUACAAACAGUUGCCCUUAUAAUGCUACCAAUUAGGCAUACAUAACAAAUGAUAGCUUAUUUUUGUUAAUACAAACUUCAUCUCCCUGGCUGUAAAAUUUGUUAUUAUGGAAUAUACUGAGGUGCAUAAACUACAUAAUAUACAGAUGAUGCCAUAUGGUGAAGACAUGAAGAAGCACUGAACUUAGGUACUUAAUUCUGAUAGAACAAAUAAUACAUGAGUAAAACAAAGCUAAGUGCUGAUAAAAUAUUCUUGGUCUACUAGCCAUGUUAAUUUAGAGAAGUUCAGUGUUGUCAGGUGUAGUAAGUGUAUCAAACCUUGUGUUAAAGAUAUUCUGUUAUUAACAUAUACUAUACUGAAUUAAGUAGCAAAUAGUAUUAGCAUGGCAAACCCUUGGUUGUCAGGUAUCCAAGUAUCCAACAUUUUCAACCAAUUGGCAAAAGUUUCAAAGAAAAUUUACAAUUUUUAUAGUUAUUCAGAAAAAAAGUUUGAAAUAUGUGUAUUUCCCCGGCCACAUGGUAGUUUUCCAAGCUGCCACUAGCAGCACUACCCAUUGUCCUCAUACAGAUGCCAUCACAGCAGAGGCCAGAUGAAUUUGUGAUUUCAUUAGAAUAUAUGUAUCCAAAAUCUUUCAUCCACCGAUCCACUAUGUUGCCUAGGAAGACUCCCUUACAGGAACUAAAGAUGAAAUAUGUUAUUUUGACUUUAUACUUAGUUUCCG